UACCAGCACCCCGAGUGGUCGGGACGAUUAUUGGGCCUAAAGCAUCCGUAGCCGGUUCUGCAAGUCUCCCGUUAAAUCCAACUGCUCAACAGGUGGGCUGCGGAGGAUACUACAGAGCUAGGAGGCAGGAGAGGCAAGCGGUACUCAGUGGGUAGGGGUAAAAUCCGUUGAUCCAUUGAAGACCACCAGUGGCGAAGGCGGCUUGCCAGAACGCGCUCGACGGUGAGGGAUGAAAGCUGGGGGAGCAAACCGG
rnacentral:rRNA from 1 species